rnacentral:rRNA from 1 species
GACGGAGGGUGCUAGCGUUGUUCGGAAUUACUGGGCGUAAGGGGCGCGUAGGCGGUCUCGUCAGUCGGGUGUGAAAGCCCGGGGCUCAACCCCGGAACGGCACCCGAGACGGCGGGACUGGAGACCGGGAGAGGAGGGUGGAAUAGCCAGUGUAGAGGUGAAAUUCGUAGAUAUUGGCUGGAACACCGGUGGCGAAGGCGGAUCUCUGGGCCUUGCCUGACGCUGAUGCGCGAAAGCUAGGGGAGCGAACAGG